AUAGUUACCUGAACGAGAUUAAUGGGUGUUCAAGAAGGCUCAUGGUCGAGGGAAGUGACCUCCAUUGCACUUAGGAGAGUGUUCUCCUAAGGUCUAUCCAAGUGGUGGAGCUUAUGUCAUAAUUUGUGGUUAUAGGGGUCUGCGUUUGCACGACCUCUC